UCUCUUUCUGCCAUAAGAGAUGACACAAGAAAUUAGCAGUCUGCAGCCAGAAGGGAGAUCUCCCCAGAACCCCACCACGCUGGCACCUUGAUCUCAGACUAUCAGUCACAGAAAUAGAUCUCUGUUGUUAACAAGCCACCAGGUCUGUGGCACUGAGAAACCAACGUUAAGACAUCAGCAAAUAUGUCUUGACAAAACAGCAACAGAACUCACAGUCUCAAGAGAAACCAUGCCAACAAGGAGAAAGAAUGAAGUAAUGCUCUACCCUUGGGACCGCUGGAGGCUAGAGCCCAACGUAAAAAUUGAGUCUUCUGAAAAUUAAGAAGUAGAUUAAUAAUUGUUUCCUGUCCUCCAUCUCUUCAGAAGGCAAAUAGGAAACUGGAGUUUUGUGGUGAUGGCAAGAGAAUAAAGAGCACUCAGAAGCUAUUCAUUUGUAGAGUGUAGAUCACACAGGAUGCAAGGGUCAAACAGUCUGUCUCUUGUACUAAGGAUGAGGAAACAGGCCCAGGGGACCUGAAUAAAGUUCUGGGGUGGUUAUAAGAAUUUUUCACCAACAAAUGAUGUGACUAUUACCAGCAUUUUCCAUUUUGUGUGUGUGUGUGUGUGUGUGUUUUAAAGAUUUAUUUAUUGGUCAGAGAGAGAGAGCACAAGCAGGGGGAGCAGCAGGCAGAGGGAGAAGCAGACUCCCCACUGGGCAAGGAGCCUGAUGUUGGACUCGAUCCCAAGACAUUGGGAUCAUGAUCUGAGCCAAAGGCAGCCACUUACACAACUGAGCCACCCAGGCAUCCCAACAUUUUCUAUUUGAAAAGGGUAUGUGGUGCAAGUGACUUAAUUAAAGUUUUUUAAACAACUCUGUGAGGGGCACCUAGGUGGCUCAGUCCUUAAGUGUCUGCCUUCAGGUCAGGUCAUGAUCCCAGAGUCCUGGGAUCGAGCCCUGCAUCAGGUUCCCUGCUCAGAGGGGAGCCUGCUUCAUCCUCUCCCACUCCCUCUGUUUAUGUUCCCACUCUUACUGUGUCUCUCUCUGACAAAUCAAUCAAUCAAUCAAUAAAAACAAAAAACCCAACUCUGUGAAUAGGUACAACAAUUAUCCCCAAAUAACGGAUGAGGAAACUG